rnacentral:misc_RNA from 1 species
GGGUGACAUGAGCUUGGGAGCAAAUGUAGACGAAUGCUGAAUAGUUUGACCAGCGUGACUCAGUUGCAUUUUAUUGCUCGCAAUGGCUUCGGGGAACAGAUGCGCGGCGGUCUGGUGCCGCAGGCGCUCGGAACCUGAAAGCGGCAUUUCCUUCUUCAGGUUCCCUCCGAACCGCAAGUACUCCAAUCAAUGGAUCGAAUACGCAAACAACCCGAGGAUCAAGGAUGUUACAAACGAGCAGCUGGUCCAAUUCAGGUUGUGUAGCCUUCAUUUUACACCUGACAUGAUCCUGAAACCAGGGCCGACAUCAUGCGGCAUAAGAAGGUCUCUUAAAAAAUGUGCCGUGCCUACCGUCCCUGUGUAUGACCCGGAACUGAGACCAUUUGUUCCGCCACAGUUCUACAAAGGACCAGUGGGACAAGAUGGUCCACACUUGUCUUCAGCAAACGUUCCACCCCACACAAUCUCUUUACCUGCCUUACCUCCCCUUAAAUCGUUGUUCCCCGCUGCAUCCCUUGCCUCCCCUCCAUCCCCUCUGUCCCCAACUGCACCCCCAUCCCCUGCUGCACCCAUGUCCCCAGCUGCACCCAUGUCCCCAGCUGCACCCAUGUCCCCUGCUGCACCUCCAUCCCCUGCUGAACUCCCGUCCCCUGCUGGAUCCGUGUCCGCUGCUGAACCUCCAUCCCCUGCUGCACCCUUGUCCCUUGCCAUCACCUCUGGUCAAUUCACACUUUUGACACUGAAGACAGAAGAUUUCGGAGGCUCUUCAAAGGAGCUCUCACAGCAGUCAUCAGCAGGUCCAGAGGAAGUCUGUGAACACGAAGACGAGCACUCUCUUAACACAUCAGCGUCCUAUGACCAUUACGACCAUGCAUACUGCAAAACUGUCCUGUAUUUGGAGGAACUAGUGUCUGCUUCAAUUGCACACUCAGCCAUUUGCAAACAGCCCGGACAGUGUACACUACAGCAUUGCAAGACAGAUCUUAAAGGCAAACCAGUCAAAAGUGGUGGGACCACGCAGCAGCAUCCAGGCCCCACGCAGCAGCAUGGGACCACACCAACACCCAGAAAGCGUGGUCGCCCCCCUUUGCAUCGAAAUGACCAGUGGUACUUAAAUUUGACCAGGCAGCCCAGUAAUGGGCAAGUGACCACUCCCCUACUUCUUCGCCAACCCCAGCAGCCGUCAAACAUUACGAACGACCCUGCAAGUGAAGUGUCCAAGGAACUACUGCAAAAUGAUAGAAAAAGGAGGAGGUGCCAUUAUUGGGUAGGGAGGUCUCAUCUCGUACGUGCCACCUCAAGGUAUCAUAGGCCAGCAAGGCCUGUCAUGACCCGUGAAAAAAUUGCGUCAGAAGCCGCCAAGUAUGUCAGCAAAGAAUUUCUGGACGUCCUGCGCGCCAAACUUCGUCUUCCAUCCAUCAACAGGGUCAAGAAGAAGCAAGCAAGUUGUUCUGGCAAGCCAUCCAGGGCUGAGGGACAAGGUGAAUGCAAGCAGUGAACAACCAACAGGGGCAGCCAUGCAGUCAAAGGAGUUGCAACUGCUAGACCAUGGCAAUAUGACAGCAUGUGAGGUUGGAAUGCUGGUUUCACUUGAUCCCAGGUCCC